rnacentral:lncRNA from 1 species
AUGGAUAAACAAAUGAUAAAGAUUGGCUUAUUGAAUAUCAGAUCCAUUUCUACAAAAACACUUUUUGUAAAUAAUAUGAUAACUGAUCAUAAUAUAGAUGUGCUCUGUUUGACAGAAACCUGGCUAAAACCUGAUGAUUACAUUAUUUUAAAUGAGUCCACCCCUCAAGAUUAUUGUUAUAAACACGAGCCGCAUCUAAAAGGCAAAGGGGGAGGAGUUGCUUCAAUUUAUAAUAACGUUUUCAGGAUUUCUCAGAGGGCAGGCUUCAAGUAUAACUCGUUUGAAGUAAUGGUGCUUCAUAUAACAUUAUCCAGAGAAACCAAUGUUAAUGAUAAAUCCCCUGUUAUGUUUGUACUGGCUACUGUAUACAGGCCACCAGGGCACCAUACAGACUUUAUUAAAGAGUUUGGUGAUUUUACAUCCGAGUUAGUUCUGGCUGCAGAUAAAGUCUUAAUAGUUGGUGAUUUUAAUAUCCAUGUCGAUAAUGAAAAAGAUGCAUUGGGAUCAGCAUUUAUAGACAUUCUGAACUCUAUUGGUGUUAGACAACACGUUUCAGGACCUACUCAUUGUCGAAAUCAUACUCUAGAUUUAAUACUGUCACAUGGAAUUGAUGUUGAUAGUGUUGAAAUUAUUCAGCCAAGUGAUGAUAUCUCAGAUCAUUAUUUAGUUCUGUGUAAACUUCAUAUAGCCAAAAUUGUAAAUUCUACUUCUUGUUACAAGUAUCGAAGAACCAUCACUUCUACCACAAAAGACUGCUUUUUAAGUUAUCUUCCUGAUGUAUCCGAAUUCCUUAGCAUAUCCAAAUCCUCAGAACAACUUGAUGAUGUAACAGAAACUAUGGACUCUCUCUUUUCUAGCACUUUAAAUACAGUUGCUCCUUUACGCUUAAGAAAGGUUAAGGAAAACAGUUUGACACCAUGGUAUAAUGAGCAUACUCGCACCCUAAAGAGAGCAGCCCGAAAAAUGGAGCGCAGCUGGAGGAAAACAAAACUAGAGGUAUUUCGUAUUGCUUGGCGGGAAAGUAGCAUAUCCUACAGAAAAGCAUUAAAAACUGCUAGAUCUGAUUACUUUUCUUCUCUUUUAGAAGAAAACAAACAUAACCCCAGGUAUUUAUUCAAUACAGUGGCUAAAUUAACGAAAAAUAAAGCCUCAACAAGUGUUGACAUUUCCCAACACCACAGCAGUAAUGACUUUAUGAACUACUUUACUUCUAAAAUCGAUACUAUUAGAGAUAAAAUUGCAACCAUUCAGCCGUCAGCUACAGUAUCAAAGUCAGUGCACUAUAGACCCCCUGAGGAACAGUUCCACUCAUUCUCUACUAUAGGAGAGGAAGAAUUGUAUAAACUUGUUAAAUCAUCUAAACUUACAACAUGCAUGUUAGACCCUAUACCAUCUAAGCUCUUAAAAGAGGUGCUUCCAGAAGUCAUAGGUCCUCUUCUGACCAUUAUUAAUUCCUCAUUGUCAUUAGGAUAUGUCCCCAAAACCUUCAAACUGGCUGUUAUUAAGCCUCUCAUAAAAAAGCCACAACUUGACCCCAGAGAACUAGUUAAUUAUAGACCAAUCUCGAAUCUCCCUUUUCUGUCCAAGAUACUAGAAAAGGUGGUAUCCUCACAAUUAUAUUCCUUCUUAGAGAAAAAUGGUAUAUGUGAGGAUUUCCAGUCAGGAUUUAGACCGUAUCAUAGUACUGAAACUGCUCUCCUUAGAGUUACAAAUGAUCUGCUCUUAUCAUCUGAUCGUGGGUGUAUCUCUCUAUUAGUUUUAUUGGAUCUUAGCGUUUGA